UUUAAAAGCAAGCUAAGUUUGUUAUAUAUAGUUGGUAAGAAAACUUGCAAGGAUAGAUUUUCUCCAGGAAGUAAAUGAAGGUAUUCUGUAGGAAUACAUAAAAUAAAGGUAUAGUUGGGGGUUGAUGUAUUCAGAAAAAAAAAGUGAGGUAUUUAAUAGUUCUUAAAGUGUGAGAUUUCUGUUUACCACCAUGAUAAGGAAAUAAUUUGCUGAAAUGUAGCAACUUUUACUGACUGUAAUACUGAAGCAACGUCACAGAGCUGAUGUCAUUACAGGCUGUCAUGCCAGGGUAAGACCAGAUGAAGACACAACCACAAGCUGAAUAAAAUCCAUAUAACAUGCAAUGCCCAGGGUAGCAGAAAACUCAAACACUUUUAAUGAUAGGAACUUAACUAUUCAAAGAGUUAAUCUAGUGACUAAAACAAGUUAAUCAUUAAGAAUUAUGUAAUGGACUGUGGCAGUGGUAGCAUACACUUUUAAUCCCAGCACUAGGGAGGCAGAGUCAGGCAGUUCUCUGUGAGUUUGAGGCCAACCUGUUCGACAAAGUGAGUUUCAGGACAGCUGGAGCAACACAGAGUAAAUCUGUAUUUUUUUUUAAAAGAACAAAAACCAAGCAAACAAAUCAUGUGGCAUAUGAAAAAAUGAUGGUGAAAGUACUUCUGUGUGUUUAUCUUAUUGAUUGUUUAAUAAAGUUCUCUUUGGCCAAUGAGACAGCAAGUUAGAUAGGACUAGGAGUCAAAGAGGAUUCUGGGAAAUGUAGUAGAGAGGUGGUGAUACAGGCAGGAAGUGACAUAGCAAGGAGACUCAUAUUUAAGCAAAGGAAACAGGAAGUGUCCCCUUUCCCCUCUGCUCUUCCUCCAGCGGAGCAAUGUGAUCCACCGGCAAGGAGGGACGCCAAUAAGGCGUCUGAUAAGGAGUUAACUAUAGUUCCUUGUGGAAGGUGGAGUCUCAUGUGUCAUCUUCCACACAGAUGGGCUAUGAACAGAGCCAAUGCAGACUUCUUCCAGAACCUCAAGUGAUUCCUGAUCUAGAACUUUGAUAUAAAUUCUAUGGAUCAACAGACAACUCACAGUAUCAUCAGAAGCACAACCUGCUUACAGGCCCAGAAUAUCUGACAGACUUUUCGGUAAAACAGAAUUCUGAUAACUUAAAAACAAACAUUGCCACAAAAGACCACCGCUCCCAAUACCAGCCUACAAUCCACACUGCCAGAGAAGCCAGUAAACAAGAAGGACACCAAGAGAGACAUACAUGGUCCCGUGGAGAAGGGGAAAAGGACAAGAUAUUCAGAGCAAAUUGGGAGCAUGGGGGGAGGGUAGAGGAAACUAGGAGAAUGAGAAAGGGGAGAAGAGGAGGGGUAAGGAAGACAUGAUGGGGCAGGUAGGUUGAGUUGGGGGAAGAAAAGAAGAGAGCAAGAUAAGAGAUAAUAUAAUAGAGGGAGACAUUAUAAGUUCAAAGAGAAAUCAGGCACUAGGGAAAUAUCUGGAGAGCUACAAAGAUGACACCAACUAACAAUCUAAGCAACAGAGGAGAGGCUACCUUAAAUACCCUCUCCUGAUAAUGAGAUUGAUGACUAAUUCAUAUUCCAUCAUAUAGCCUUCAUCCAGCAGCUGGUGGAAGUAGAAGCAGACACCCACAGCUAAACCUUGAACUGAACUGAAAUCCAUUUGCAGAGAAGGAGGACAGAUGAGCAUAGGGAUCCAUACCAGGCUGAUGAAACCCACAGAAACAGCUGACCAGAACAAGGGAGAGCUUUUUGUUUCCAGACUGAUAGCAGGAAUACCAGCAUGGGACUGAUCCAGACCCCCUGAAUGUGGGUGUCAGUGAUUCCUUGUAGUGGAUCAGUACUUAUCCCUAGCACAGGAAUGGACUCUGAGAGGGGGAGUGUAGUUAGAGGUAUGUGGUUAGUGGGUACAUAUGAUCAAUAUAUAUAGCAAUAAAGAAUAAGAGUUUCAAAGAAAAAGAUGUUAUGGG
ensembl:lncRNA